GAUGAACGCUGGCGGCGUGCCUAAUACAUGCAGGUAGAACGCUGAAGGAAGGAGCUUGCUCUUUCCGGAUGAGUUGCGAACGGGUGAGUAACGCGUAGGUAACCUGCCUGGUAGCGGGGGAUAACUAUUGGAAACGAUAGCUAAUACCGCAUAACAGUAGAUGUUGCAUGAUAUCUACUUAAAAGGUGCAAUUGCACCACUACCAGAUGGACCUGCGUUGUAUUAGCUAGUUGGUGAGGUAACGGCUCACCAAGGCGACGAUACAUAGCCGACCUGAGAGGGUGAUCGGCCACACUGGGACUGAGACACGGCCCAGACUCCUACGGGAGGCAGCAGUAGGGAAUCUUCGGCAAUGGACGGAAGUCUGACCGGGCAACGCCGCGUGAGUGAAGAAGGUUUUCGGAUCGUAAAGCUCUGUUGUAAGAGAAGAACGAGUGUGAGAGUGGAAAGUUCACACUGUGACGGUAUCUUACCAGAAAGGGACGGCUAACUACGUG
rnacentral:rRNA from 1 species